rnacentral:tRNA from 2 species
GAAGAGGUGGCCGAGUGGUCCAAGGCGCCGCAAAGACUUCGGUAUUCUAUUGAUUCCUCUUGGAUUCAAAAACUGCGGUCUGUUUCAAGAACAGUCGUGGGUUCAAAUCCCACCCUCUUCC